rnacentral:rRNA from 1 species
CCUGGCUCAGGACGAACGCUGGCGGCGCGCCUAACACAUGCAAGUCGAACGAGCGAGAGAGAGCUUGCUUUCUCGAGCGAGUGGCGAACGGGUGAGUAACGCGUGAGGAACCUGCCUCAAAGAGGGGGACAACAGUUGGAAACGACUGCUAAUACCGCAUAAGCCCACGGUGCCGCAUGGCACAGAGGGAAAAGGAGCAAUCCGCUUUGAGAUGGCCUCGCGUCCGAUUAGCUAGUUGGUGAGGUAAUGGCCCACCAAGGCGACGAUCGGUAGCCGGACUGAGAGGUUGAACGGCCACAUUGGGACUGAGACACGGCCCAGACUCCUACGGGAGGCAGCAGUGGGGAAUAUUGCACAAUGGGGGAAACCCUGAUGCAGCGACGCCGCGUGGAGGAAGAAGGUCUUCGGAUUGUAAACUCCUGUUGUUGGGGAAGAUAAUGACGGUACCCAACAAGGAAGUGACGGCUAACUACGUGCCAGCAGCCGCGGUAAAACGUAGGUCACAAGCGUUGUCCGGAAUUACUGGGUGUAAAGGGAGCGCAGGCGGGAAGACAAGUUGGAAGUGAAAUCUAUGGGCUCAACCCAUAAACUGCUUUCAAAACUGUUUUUCUUGAGUAGUGCAGAGGUAGGCGGAAUUCCCGGUGUAGCGGUGGAAUGCGUAGAUAUCGGGAGGAACACCAGUGGCGAAGGCGGCCUACUGGGCACCAACUGACGCUGAGGCUCGAAAGUGUGGGUAGCAAACAGGAUUAGAUACCCUGGUAGUCCACACCGUAAACGAUGAUUACUAGGUGUUGGAGGAUUGACCCCUUCAGUGCCGCAGUUAACACAAUAAGUAAUCCACCUGGGGAGUACGACCGCAAGGUUGAAACUCAAAGGAAUUGACGGGGGCCCGCACAAGCAGUGGAGUAUGUGGUUUAAUUCGACGCAACGCGAAGAACCUUACCAAGUCUUGACAUCCCUUGACAGGCAUAGAAAUAUGUUUUCUCUUCGGAGCAAGGAGACAGGUGGUGCAUGGUUGUCGUCAGCUCGUGUCGUGAGAUGUUGGGUUAAGUCCCGCAACGAGCGCAACCCUUAUGGUCAGUUACUACGCAAGAGGACUCUGGCCAGACUGCCGUUGACAAAACGGAGGAAGGUGGGGAUGACGUCAAAUCAUCAUGCCCUUUAUGACUUGGGCUACACACGUACUACAAUGGCGUUAAACAAAGAGAAGCAAGACCGCGAGGGGAGCAAAACUCAGAAACAACGUCCCAGUUCGGACUGCAGGCUGCAACUCGCCUGCACGAAGUCGGAAUUGCUAGUAAUCGUGGAUCAGCAUGCCACGGUGAAUACGUUCCCGGGCCUUGCACACACCGCCC